CCACUCCCACCCCGCGCGGCCCCAAAUUCCCGGAGUCAGGUGACCUGGCCCGGGCGCUGCUCCCCGGACCUGCGGGAGGUGCUCUCUGGACCGCCCACGCCCCGUCCCCGCGGCGAGUCCAGGACGUCCAGGUUCGGUUUUGAGUUCGGCGGCUCGUGGGAUCCUUCAGCGUGGAUCUGUCUCACUGUCUUGAAGUGCUCAGCGUGCUUGUGGACAGCAGAGGACACCAAAAGGAAGAACUAUCAGAGGUGGAGAGCACAUCUUCACAGGGCAAAGAGGGGAAAAGCAAAGGAGCCCACCGCUCUCUGAGAAAGCCAAGUUCAGAACAGUAGAGGACGAAGCUGUUGCUCCAGCAAAGCGUUCUGGCAUGCCCAGUGAUGAGACUCUAGAACACAGUCCAGCAAGUACCAGAGUCAGUGCCACCCACCAGUCCUAGAGAAAUGGCUGAUGACCCUUCAAAUGGCAUUGUCUGGAAGGUACAGCUAGGAACAGGUGCUGAAAUGGCAGCCUGGAGAGGCCAGAUAACAUGUCCCAAACCAUGCAACUAAUGUUGCAAAGCCAGGAUUCAAGCUUGGAACAUCGCAUUGCAGAAUGGAAGACAACACUGUGUCCUAAAGCAUGUCCUCCAGUGGAUUAGCAGCAUGGCAUGUGACAGUGAACUCUCUGCUACCCAAUGGCCAUUGUCUGGAGCACCGUAAUUAGACGCAGCCAGCCUGAAGAAGCAAAACUGAAUUUUACGAACAAGACUUAUUAGAAAUGUGCUUUGUUGGAUUACCUUCACGAUGAAGGAUAAUUGGGACCAGAAUUGCAGAACAUUGCCUGGGGGAGUUCGUUUUUUAAGAAAGGAAAUGGGGGGAGGGGUAGAAUUAGCUGCAUUCAUUCCACAGCAAUGAACUCUUCUGAGACAAGGUCAGGAGAUGUGGAAGCUUGCUUUCUUAAACAGUGUCCACAUUCUUCUCAAGUUUGUAUCCCUUUCAGCUUGUUUAAGUCCUGUGUAGCAGCUACACACCGAGCCCCAUCUGGGAGGUCGGUGUUGUGUUGGAUGCUGGUGACCCAGCUGUGGCAGCUCUGCUCUCGGGCACUAGGACCCUUGUAUCAGGAGGCAGACGAAAACAAAUAAUAAGUAAAUCCACAAGAGUGCUAUAAUAGAUGAGAAAGAAGUGCUGAAGAGUGAGGGGACAGAAAGCCACAGGAGAGGGCCAGAGACACUAUUUUAUAUAGAAUUACCAAGAAAGCAGUCUCUGACAGAGAGACCUUUUGAGCCCAUAACUGAAGGAGAUACCUGUUCUGUAGAUAGCACAAAAAUGAACUUUAACCCAGUUCAUGGAUGAGAAUUUUAGACCUGGAAGGGUCUAUAAUGAAGGGAGGCCCAGGAAGUAGUCUUUUAUUCAGAACCAUAUUAUGAAUAUGUUAUAUAUUAUCAAUACAGCUUGAUUGAAAAUGUUAAAUAAGUACUCUCCUGUAAUUCAACAAAUACUGUGUCACUAUUAUGUGCCACCAGCCUAGGCUCAUGCUUUCUGCAUUGCGUCCUAUGGUUUCAUGAUUCACAAUAUAUUUCAAGCUAACAAGUUUCUACUGUGACUUUAUAUUUUGGUUAGCCUGAGGUAUGGUUUCCCUUUCUGUGGUAUGUUAAUAUGGUAAAUGAUGAACCAAAUCUUAGUGGUUGUGGUUACAGUUGUUUGUGACAUUACCAACCACUCUAUCCCUAUCUCUUCUUUUAAUUGAUGACUUCCUCCUCCUCCUUCUUGUUAGAAAUUAUUCUGCUGGUCCGUGUUUACUUGUUAAAUUAUACUCUGUUUGCUCUUUCAUGUGACAGAAAAAUUCUUGUUCUAGUGUUGGAGGUUGGGCAAGAGAAGAAGAUUGGGCAUGAAAGGAACCAGAAUAUUCAAAUUCAAAUCAGAGGGCAAAGUUGGCGUCUCCAGAGAGAACUGGCAACAGAAGGUGACACAAGAGAUGUCCAGGCAUCACACCAAGCACAGGGUGUAUACAUAAGAACAGAGUCUGCUACCAGAGUGAGGAGACGGCCAUUUGAACAGAGACGCGGAUACCGACUGAAGGCGAAGAGACAAGAGGUUUGCAAGGCUAGGUAGGGUGAGGGACCAGAACGGCAGCAAGGAGUGAGUGGGGUCUGGGAUGGUUCACUUUGGGUGCAAGCCUGACUGGGCUAAGUGCUAGUCAGCUGGAAAGCACUGUUUCCGGAUGUCUCUGCAAGAGUGUUUCCAAAAGAAGACGGUGCUGCAUCCAUCAGGCUUCAUAAAGGAGAUUGUCCUUGACCACGUGGGUGGGAAUUGUCUUUGAAUACAGAAACCUAAACAGAACAUGGAAAUAAAGGAAGAGUCAGUCUGCCCUCCCUUCUUGAACUAGAUCAGCCAUGUUUGUCUUCGUGGGACAUCAGAGCCCCUGGUUUUGAUCCUUGGGGCUCAAACAUUUACACCCCACUCCCUGGUUCUCCCUAGUCUGUCUUCCAGUUUUGUGCUGAACUAUAUCACUGGCCCUCCAGUUGUAAAUCCUGCAGAGGGAAUUUUAAUACUACUUUGUGUAAGUUUAUAAUUGUUACCCAGACACUAAGGUCCAUGCCUAUCAAUAUUAGCCACUCAGGAGACUGAAGUAGAAGGAUCACUUGAGCCUAGGAGUUUACAACCAGUCUAAGCAAUAGAAAAAUAUCACUUCAAAAUUCAAUCUAAUUUAAUUGAAAAACAAAAAAUAUUGUCAAUCCUGUAAGAGUUGGAAUGGAAGCCUUGGAAUGUUGUCUUUAGAGAAGCAUAUCCAUAGAGUUGUCUGUGGCAAUAUAAGAACUAGAGUUCUCUAAAGAAAGAAGUGUGUGAGUGUGUGUGUGUGUGUGUGUGUGUGUGUGUGUGUGUGUGUGUGUGAGAGAGAGAGAGAGAGAGGGGGGGGGUAUAAAAGGAAAUUGGUGAUGAGAAUCAGCUCACACAGCAUGAGGCUAAGAAAUCUCACAAUAUGUUGGUCCCACCCAUAAUAACAUUACACUGGAUAGAAUGUUUCCAACAUGUGUUUUUUGGUUUGGUGGGGGCACAUUUAGAUUAUACAUG